UCCGUUGUGGUCUAGUGGCUAGGUUUUGUCGCUCUCAAGAAGUGCCGACAAGGCCGGGGUUCAAUUCCCCGCAACGGAA
rnacentral:tRNA from 1 species